rnacentral:lncRNA from 1 species
UGCUUCUCAUGGGGUCAUUGAUGUGUGUUUCAAGUUUCAUACAUUUUAUGUUUUUCGUUGUUUGGUGCAACUAAUGGGUCUUCUCUCUGUUUAUCUGUUCAUGGUGAGAAAGUGGAAAAAAAUAAAAUUAGGCUUUAUGUUGCAGUGUUUGGUUGGAACAAGCUUGGAUUUCUAUUCAAUGGAAAACAAAGGAUAAAGUUACCAAUUUCUCAUUCUCCUUGAAUUUUCUGCUAAAUUAUACUUCUUGGUUUUAAAAAAGAUUAAGUUUUUUCAUGUGGGUACCUCUUAAUAUGAGCAAUUCGGUUUGGAUCCUGGCAUUCUGCAAAUGGCGUAAACCUAGGUGGUAACAGAGUGAGGGAGAGAGAAGACUCGAAGAGAGAGAAAAGUCAGAGGAAGGGAGGAAAGAAAGAAAAGAAGAAGGAAUUGAGGAAAUAGGGCAUUUUUUCAAAUCAAAAGUUAAUUUUGACAUAAAAGUUAACUAAGGUUAACAAUGGGACAAGUGUCACCAUUUAAGGAUGUUGGUGAUCAUAUACAUCUGGUUAUUGUGGUGAACAAAAAUGCUCCCAUAAAAUUGGGGUUUUAUUUAUAUAAAAAAUAAGGUGAUG